GACGAACGCUGGCGGCGUGCUUAACACAUGCAAGUCGAACGGAAAGGCCUGCUUUCCCUUGUGGAUUGCGGGUACUCGAGUGGCGAACGGGUGAGUAACACGUGAGUGAUCUGCCCCCAACUUGGGUAUAAGCCUGGGAAACUGGGUCUAAUUCCCGAUAGGACUGCAGGGUGGUGCCUGUGGUGGAAAACGAUUUUCUAGUGGUUGGGGAUGAGCUCGCGGCCUAUCAGCUUGUUGGUGGGGUAAUGGCCUACCAAGGCGGCGACGGGUAGCCGGCCUGAGAGGGUGGACGGCCACAUUGGGACUGCGAUACGGCCCAGACUCCUACGGGAGGCAGCAGUGGGGAAUAUUGCACAAUGGGCGGAGGCCUGAUGCAGCGACGCCGCGUGGGGGAUGACGGCCGUCGGGUUGUAAACUCCUUUCGACCGCGAGGAAGCCACCUGGUUGGAAGGGUGGUGACGGUAGUGGUAGAAGAAGCACCGGCUAACUACGUG
rnacentral:rRNA from 1 species